AUACAUGCAAGUCGAGCGAACUGAUUAGAAGCUUGCUUCUAUGACGUUAGCGGCGGACGGGUGAGUAACACGUGGGCAACCUGCCUGUAAGACUGGGAUAACUUCGGGAAACCGAAGCUAAUACCGGAUAGGAUCUUCUCCUUCAUGGGAGAUGAUUGAAAGAUGGUUUCGGCUAUCACUUACAGAUGGGCCCGCGGUGCAUUAGCUAGUUGGUGAGGUAACGGCUCACCAAGGCAACGAUGCAUAGCCGACCUGAGAGGGUGAUCGGCCACACUGGGACUGAGACACGGCCCAGACUCCUACGGGAGGCAGCAGUAGGGAAUCUUCCGCAAUGGACGAAAGUCUGACGGAGCAACGCCGCGUGAGUGAUGAAGGCUUUCGGGUCGUAAAACUCUGUUGUUAGGGAA
rnacentral:rRNA from 2 species